UUACUUCUUUCAGAUGAUUCUAUGGAAAAGCCAACAUAUGUUAGGUUUCUGGUAUCAAACUCUGCAGCUGGUUCUGUUAUUGGAAAGGGUGGUUCAACUAUCACUGAUUUUCAGUCACAAUCUUGAGCGCGAAUCUAGUUGUCACACAAUAAUGAAUUCUUCCCUGGAACUACUGAUAGGAUUAUCAUGGUAUCUGGUGCAAUCAAUGAAAUACUAAGAGCUGUAGAGCUCAUUCUUUCGAAGUUGCUCACUGAGCUUCAUAGCGAGGAUGACAAUGGCGUUGAGCCAAAAAAAAAAGUGAGACUCAUUGUUCCUAAUGGUUCUUGUGGUGGAAUAAUUGGCAAGGGAGGUGCUACCAUCACGUACAAACCAUUUUCUUUUGUUAAGUUCUAGGUCCUACUUGUUUGCCACAUGCAUUAAAUUAGUAUGGAUCAAAGUAACUUUUGAUACUUAUGCUUUUUUAUUUGUGUUCUGGAAAUAUGUUUUGACUUGAAGAGGUUGUUUCUUAUAUGAAUGCUGGUUCUUUUCCCUA